rnacentral:rRNA from 1 species
UACGGAAGGCAGCAGUGGGGAAUCUUGCGCAAUGGGCGAAAGCCUGACGCAGCCGAUGCCGCGUGAAUGAUGAAGGUCUUAGGAUUGUAAAAUUCUUUCACCGGGGACGAUAAUGACGGUACCCGGAGAAGAAGCCCCGGCUAACUUCGUGCCAGCAGCCGCGGUAAUACGAAGGGGCUAGCGUUGCUCGGAAUUACUGGGCGUAAAGGGAGCGUAGGCGGACAUUUAAGUCAGGGGUGAAAUCCCGGGGCUCAACCUCGGAAUUGCCUUUGAUACUGGGUGUCUUGAGUAUGAGAGAGGUGUGUGGAACUCCGAGUGUAGAGGUGAAAUUCGUAGAUAUUCGGAAGAACACCAGUGGCGAAGGCGACACACUGGCUCAUUACUGACGCUGAGGCUCGAAAGCGUGGGGAGCAAACAGGGAUUAGAUACC